CUUAGAGGCGCCUGGUCGGGAAGGGCCUGGUCAGCUGCGUCCGGCGGAGGCAGCUGCUGACCCAGCUGUGGACUGUGCCAGGGGCGGGGGACGGAGGGGCAGGAGCCCUGGGCUCCCCGUGGCAGGGGCUGUAUCAUGGACCACCUCGGGGCGUCCCUCUGGCCCCAGGUCGGCUCCCUUUGUCUCCUGCUCGCUGGGGCCGCCUGGGCGCCCCCGCCCAACCUCCCGGACCCCAAGUUCGAGAGCAAAGCGGCCUUGCUGGCGGCCCGCGGGCCCGAAGAGCUUCUGUGCUUCACCGAGCGGUUGGAGGACUUGGUGUGUUUCUGGGAGGAAGCGGCGAGCGCUGGGGUGGGCCCGGGCAACUACAGCUUCUCCUACCAGCUCGAGUGAGUCCGAUCCGGCGGGCGCCUCCACGGGCGGAGGGAGGGGGUGGGGCAGAGCUCCCUGGAGGUCGUAGCCUCGUAUGUCCCCUGCUGUUCGAGGCCCAACGGCGCCUCCAGUCGUGGUCACUGGAGGGAAACCUGCGGGUCCAGGGCUGGCACGCCCUCUAUGGGCCGGGGCGCGAAUACUCCCGCGAUCACCGCUGGAACGCGACCCCAAACAUCAGGCUGGGAUAACAACGCCUCCAAAUCUAGGGGAUGAGCCAUGGAAGCUGUGUCGCCUGCACCAGGCUCCCACGGCUCGUGGUGCGGUGCGCUUCUGGUGUUCGCUGCCCACAGCCGACACGUCGAGCUUCGUGCCCCUAGAGUUGCGCGUCACAGCAGCCUCCGGCGCUCCGCGAUAUCACCGUGUCAUCCACAUCAAUGAAGUAGGUAAGUGCUCUGGGAAUGGAGGAGUGGUCUUAGGAGAGUGUCUCAGUCCUCGCCCACCUGACCAACCCCAUGCCUGCAGUGCUCCUGGACGCCCCCGUGGGGCUGGUGGCGCGGUUGGCUGACGAGAGCGGCCACGUAGUGUUGCGCUGGCUCCCGCCGCCUGAGACACCCAUGACGUCCCACAUCCGCUACGAGGUGGACGUCUCGGCCGGCAACGGCGCAGGGAGCGUGCAGAGGGUGGAGAUCCUGGAGGGCCGCACCGAGUGUGUGCUGAGCAACCUGCGGGGCCGGACGCGCUACACCUUCGCCGUCCGCGCGCGUAUGGCUGAGCCGAGCUUCGGCGGCUUCUGGAGCGCCUGGUCGGAGCCUGUGUCGCUGCUGACGCCUAGUGACCUGGACCCCCUCAUCCUGACGCUCUCCCUCAUCCUCGUGCUCAUCCUGGUGCUGCUGACCGUGCUCGCGCUGCUCUCCCACCGCCGGGCUCUGAAGCAGAAGAUCUGGCCUGGCAUCCCGAGCCCAGAGAGUGAGUUUGAAGGCCUCUUCACCACCCACAAGGGUAACUUCCAGCUGUGGCUGUACCAGAAUGAUGGCUGCCUGUGGUGGAGCCCCUGCACCCCCUUCACAGAGGACCCACCUGCUUCCCUGGAAGUCCUCUCAGAGCGCUGCUGGGGGACGAUGCAGGCAGUGGAGCCGGGGACAGAUGAUGAGGGCCCCCUGCUGGAGCCGGUGGGCAGUGAGCAUGCCCAGGAUACCUAUCUGGUGCUGGACAAGUGGUUGCUGCCCCGGAACCCGCCCAGUGAGGACCUCCCAGGGCCUGGUGGCAGUGUGGACAUAGUGGCCAUGGAUGAAGGCUCAGAAGCAUCCUCCUGCUCAUCUGCUUUGGCCUCGAAGCCCAGCCCAGAGGGAGCCUCUGCUGCCAGCUUUGAGUACACUAUCCUGGACCCCAGCUCCCAGCUCUUGCGUCCAUGGACACUGUGCCCUGAGCUGCCCCCUACCCCACCCCACCUAAAGUACCUGUACCUUGUGGUAUCUGACUCUGGCAUCUCAACUGACUACAGCUCAGGGGACUCCCAGGGAGCCCAAGGGGGCUUAUCUGAUGGCCCCUACUCCAACCCUUAUGAGAACAGCCUUAUCCCAGCUGCUGAGCCUCUGCCCCCCAGCUAUGUGGCUUGCUCUUAGGACACCAGGCUGCAGAUGAUCAGGGAUCCAAUAUGACUCAGAGAGCCAGGGCAGACUCAAGACUUACUGAAAAGGGAUGGCGAAGCCUCUCUCAGGAGUAGGGGCAUUGCUGAUUUUGUCUGCCCAAUCCAUCCUGCUCAGGAAAUCACAACCUUGCAGUAUUUUUAAAUAUGUAUAGUUUUUUUGUAUCUAUAUGUAUAUAUACACAUAUGUAUGUAA
rnacentral:sRNA from 1 species